rnacentral:rRNA from 1 species
AUUGAACGCUGGCGGCAUGCCUUACACAUGCAAGUCGAACGGCAGCACGGGAGCAAUCCUGGUGGCGAGUGGCGAACGGGUGAGUAAUAUAUCGGAACGUGCCCAGUCGUGGGGAUAACGUAGCGAAAGCUACGCUAAUACCGCAUACGAUCUAUGGAUGAAAGCGGGGGAUCGCAAGACCUCGCGCGAUUGGAGCGGCCGAUAUCAGAUUAGGUAGUUGGUGAGGUAAAGGCUCACCAAGCCGACGAUCUGUAGCUGGUCUGAGAGGACGACCAGCCACACUGGGACUGAGACACGGCCCAGACUCCUACGGGAGGCAGCAGUGGGGAAUUUUUGGACGAAUGGGCGCGAAGCCUGAUCCAGCAAUGCCGCGUGCAGGAUG